AAGUCGUAACAAGGUUUCCGUAGGUGAACCUGCGGAAGGAUCAUUAACACGUAUCCAACGUUAAACAACCCCGUGAACUUCAGCCUGCUCUCGUAGCCCACGCGGCAACAGCAAUCCCGGUAAAUCAUUGACGACCAGUUUUGAUUCGGACCUCUGUUACGAUGUGAGAAGUUACAGUUACGAUCGAGCGGUAGAUCCAUUGUUAACAGUUGUUCGGUUUUUUUUUACCGCUUAGUAAUGGGGUGAGGUAAGGGGCAUGGGGACCCUGUGACAUGUCUGCGUCGGUGAUCGACCUCUAGCAACCGUGAGGCGUUAUCCUUGCGCAGCCAGUGAUCCUUUCAUUCUCUGGAUUCUGCUUGGGGACGCCAUGCCACUGACUAUCUUGGUUCUC
rnacentral:misc_RNA from 1 species